rnacentral:rRNA from 1 species
GGGUUGUGAGGUUAAGCGACUAAGCGUACACGGUGGAUGCCCUGGCAGUCAGAGGCGAUGAAGGGCGUGCUAAUCUGCGAUAAGCGCCGGUAAGGUGAUAUGAACCGUUAUAACCGGCGAUACCCGAAUGGGGAAACCCAGUGUGACUCGUCACACUAUCAUUAACUGAAUCCAUAGGUUAAUGAGGCGAACCGGGGGAACUGAAACAUCUAAGUACCCCGAGGAAAAGAAAUCAACCGAGAUUCCCCCAGUAGCGGCGAGCGAACGGGGAGGAGCCCAGAGCCUGAAUCAGCAUGUGUGUUAGUGGAAGCGUCUGGAAAGGCGCGCGAUACAGGGUGACAGCCCCGUACACAAAAGCGCAUGUGCUGUGAGCUCGAUGAGUAGGGCGGGACACGUGGUAUCCUGUCUGAAUAUGGGGGGACCAUCCUCCAAGGCUAAAUACUCCUGACUGACCGAUAGUGAACCAGUACCGUGAGGGAAAGGCGAAAAGAACCCCGGCGAGGGGAGUGAAAAAGAACCUGAAACCGUGUACGUACAAGCAGUGGGAGCACCCUUUGGGGUGUGACUGCGUACCUUUUGUAUAAUGGGUCAGCGACUUAUAUUCUGUAGCAAGGUUAACCGAAUAGGGGAGCCGGAGGGAAACCGAGUCUUAAUUGGGCGUUAAGUUGCAGGGUAUAGACCCGAAACCCGGUGAUCUAGCCAUGGGCAGGUUGAAGGUUGGGUAACACUAACUGGAGGACCGAACCGACUAAUGUUGAAAAAUUAGCGGAUGACCUGUGGCUGGGGGUGAAAGGCCAAUCAAACCGGGAGAUAGCUGGUUCUCCCCGAAAGCUAUUUAGGUAGCGCCUCGUGAAUUCAUCUCCGGGGGUAGAGCACUGUUUCGGCUAGGGGGCCAUCCCGGCUUACCAACCCGAUGCAAACUGCGAAUACCGGAGAAUGUUAUCACGGGAGACACACGGCGGGUGCUAACGUCCGUCGUGAAGAGGGAAACAACCCAGACCGCCAGCUAAGGUCCCAAAGUCAUGGUUAAGUGGGAAACGAUGUGGGAAGGCCCAGACAGCCAGGAUGUUGGCUUAGAAGCAGCCAUCAUUUAAAGAAAGCGUAAUAGCUCACUGGUCGAGUCGGCCUGCGCGGAAGAUGUAACGGGGCUAAACCAUGCACCGAAGCUGCGGCAGCGACGUUUAUGCGUUGUUGGGUAGGGGAGCGUUCUGUAAGCCUGCGAAGGUGGCCUGUGAGGGUUGCUGGAGGUAUCAGAAGUGCGAAUGCUGACAUAAGUAACGAUAAAGCGGGUGAAAAGCCCGCUCGCCGGAAGACCAAGGGUUCCUGUCCAACGUUAAUCGGGGCAGGGUGAGUCGACCCCUAAGGCGAGGCCGAAAGGCGUAGUCGAUGGGAAACGGGUUAAUAUUCCCGUACUUGGUGUUACUGCGAAGGGGGGACGGAGAAGGCUAUGUUGGCCGGGCGACGGUUGUCCCGGUUUAAGCGUGUAGGCUGGUUUUCCAGGCAAAUCCGGAAAAUCAAGGCUGAGGCGUGACGACGAGGCACUACGGUGCUGAAGCAACAAAUGCCCUGCUUCCAGGAAAAGCCUCUAAGCAUCAGGUAACAUCAAAUCGUACCCCAAACCGACACAGGUGGUCAGGUAGAGAAUACCAAGGCGCUUGAGAGAACUCGGGUGAAGGAACUAGGCAAAAUGGUGCCGUAACUUCGGGAGAAGGCACGCUGACACGUAGGUGAAGUGAUUUACUCAUGGAGCUGAAGUCAGUCGAAGAUACCAGCUGGCUGCAACUGUUUAUUAAAAACACAGCACUGUGCAAACACGAAAGUGGACGUAUACGGUGUGACGCCUGCCCGGUGCCGGAAGGUUAAUUGAUGGGGUCAGCGCAAGCGAAGCUCCUGAUCGAAGCCCCGGUAAACGGCGGCCGUAACUAUAACGGUCCUAAGGUAGCGAAAUUCCUUGUCGGGUAAGUUCCGACCUGCACGAAUGGCGUAAUGAUGGCCAGGCUGUCUCCACCCGAGACUCAGUGAAAUUGAACUCGCUGUGAAGAUGCAGUGUACCCGCGGCAAGACGGAAAGACCCCGUGAACCUUUACUAUAGCUUGACACUGAACAUUGAGCCUUGAUGUGUAGGAUAGGUGGGAGGCUUUGAAGCGUGGACGCCAGUCUGCGUGGAGCCAACCUUGAAAUACCACCCUUUAAUGUUUGAUGUUCUAACGUGGACCCGUAAUCCGGGUUGCGGACAGUGUCUGGUGGGUAGUUUGACUGGGGCGGUCUCCUCCUAAAGAGUAACGGAGGAGCACGAAGGUUGGCUAAUCCUGGUCGGACAUCAGGAGGUUAGUGCAAUGGCAUAAGCCAGCUUGACUGCGAGCGUGACGGCGCGAGCAGGUGCGAAAGCAGGUCAUAGUGAUCCGGUGGUUCUGAAUGGAAGGGCCAUCGCUCAACGGAUAAAAGGUACUCCGGGGAUAACAGGCUGAUACCGCCCAAGAGUUCAUAUCGACGGCGGUGUUUGGCACCUCGAUGUCGGCUCAUCACAUCCUGGGGCUGAAGUAGGUCCCAAGGGUAUGGCUGUUCGCCAUUUAAAGUGGUACGCGAGCUGGGUUUAGAACGUCGUGAGACAGUUCGGUCCCUAUCUGCCGUGGGCGCUGGAGAACUGAGGGGGGCUGCUCCUAGUACGAGAGGACCGGAGUGGACGCAUCACUGGUGUUCGGGUUGUCAUGCCAAUGGCACUGCCCGGUAGCUAAAUGCGGAAGAGAUAAGUGCUGAAAGCAUCUAAGCACGAAACUUGCCCCGAGAUGAGUUCUCCCUGAGACUUAGAGUCUCCUGAAGGAACGUUGAAGACGACGACGUUGAUAGGCCGGGUGUGUAAGCGCAGCGAUGCGUUGAGCUAACCGGUACUAAUGAACCGUGAGGCUUAACCUUACAACGCCGAAG